AUUGAACGCUGGCGGAAUGCUUUACACAUGCAAGUCGAGCGGCAGCGCGGGGGCAACCUUGGCGGCGAGCGGCGAACGGGUGAGUAACAUAUCGGAACGUACCCCGUCGUGGGGGAUAACACAGCGCAAGCUGUGCUAAUACCGCAUACGACCUGAGGGUGAAAGCGGGGGACCGUAAGGCCUCGCGCGACGGGAGCGGCCGAUAUCGGAUUAGCUUGUUGGUGAGGUAAAGGCUCACCAAGGCGACGAUCCGUAGCUGGUCUGAGAGGACGACCAGCCACACUGGAACUGAGACACGGUUCAGACUCCUACGGGAGGCAGCAGUGGGGAAUUUUGGACAAUGGGGGCAACCCUGAUCCAGCCAUUCCGCGUGAGCGAAGAAGGCCUUCGGGUUGUAAAGCUCUUUCGGCAGGAACGAAACGGUGGCCACUAAUACUGGCUACUAAUGACGGUACCUGAAGAAGAAGCACCGGCUAACUACGUGCCAGCCGCCGCAGUAA
rnacentral:rRNA from 1 species